AAAUGUCUUGUUUGGAAUCUCUGUUUGGUAGUUACUCAAAGAAUCUUUUCUACAUGUGUGUCUGUUUGUCAAUUCAGGUAAGAGGGGAAACCAUGUUCCAACUGACAGACCUCAUCUUGUGACAGAGGGACAACUGCGUCACCGACAUGGAGGAGCACACAGACUCACACACAUGUACAGACACGCUCACAGCCAUUUGGACAAUUCUGUGGAUCGCUGUAACACCAGUUUUGAUGCAGUUGCUAAGAUUCGAGGAGAGAUCUUCUUCUUUAAAGGUGAGAAUAUGUGGAGAGUGAGCAGAGGUGGUCUGGUGUCGGUCAGGGCUGCUCCUGUACAGACUUUGGUCGGCUCUUCCUUCUUCACUUCCUC